GAUGAACGCUGGCGGCGUGCCUAAUACAUGCAAGUCGAGCGAACAGAUGAGGAGCUUGCUCCUCUGACGUUAGCGGCGGACGGGUGAGUAACACGUGGAUAACCUACCUAUAAGACUGGGAUAACUUCGGGAAACCGGAGCUAAUACCGGAUAAUAUAUUGAACCGCAUGGUUCAAUAGUGAAAGACGGUUUUGCUGUCACUUAUAGAUGGAUCCGCGCCGCAUUAGCUAGUUGGUAAGGUAACGGCUUACCAAGGCAACGAUGCGUGGCCGACCUGAGAGGGUGAUCGGCCAAACUGGAACUGAGACCCGGUCCAGACUCCUACGGGAGGCAGCAGUAGGGAAUCUUCCGCCAUGGGCGAAAGCCUGACGGAGCAACGCCGCGUGAGUGAUGAAGGUCUUCGGAUCGUAAAACUCUGUUAUUAGGGAAGAACAAAUGUGUAAGUAACUAUGCACGUCUUGACGGUACCUAAUCAGAAAGCCACGGCUAACUACGUG
rnacentral:rRNA from 1 species